rnacentral:lncRNA from 1 species
AUGUUUUCAGCAGUCAACCAAGAGUCUACCUCUGUUAGGGACUGUGUGGGGUGUAGCAGAAAGGAUGCAGACUACUGGCUCUCAGAGGAUUGCUACCUGUGGUCAUGAAUUAAAAUGGAUAUCCAACUGUUCCAUGAGGCAACGAAUGGGGAUUUUACAUAUUAAAUCAGCAUUGUCUGCUGGAGCUCUCUGCUACCUGGGAAGGCUCUGCAUUUGGGCUGUCAAAGCCACAAGCUCAGACAAUGAAGAUGGCAAACUGAAGUCUUCCUCUAUAGGCACAACUUUGCAUCAGACAUUUGAUGGGAGAGGUCCAUCUUUGAAGGGAAGUUUUAUUUAAGUCUGUCCCUGGAUCCACAUCAUCCGUACGUCUGUCUACAGGGCAAAAAACUUCAUCUUUCAUGAGUGCAAUUUCAAACUUGGUGCCAACGAGAGACAUCUUCCCUGGACUCAAAUGCGCGAAGCCUGAACAGGACAUCUUGAGUGUUAGCUUCUCUGGGAUGGCUGCGGUGUGCAGCACAUUUUUGUUAAGGUGUUAUUCAAAGUUUCUGAUUAACAUAAGUUUUUCUUAAAAUUAUACAAAAACAUAAUACCAUGAUUAUGGAAAUAAAAAGCCACCCACAAGCUUACUAUCUUUACAAACCA